UGGGAAAAGAAAGCAAGGAAGGAAAAAAGAAAAGAAAAAAAAGAAUUAAGAAAGAAAAGAAGGGAAGGAAAAGAUAUUUUAUUUUUCUCAAUUAUAUUCUAUAAUGGUUAAGUCACAUUAAGAAAAUCUUCAUCCAAGGGUGACAAGGCCAGUAUUGUAAACCAUUGGAAUACUGAUACUGACAUCAUUUAAAACAAACAAACAAAAAUGCUAAGUUUGUAUUUCUUGUCUCCCUCCUGUAUUCAUGUUGCACGACCAGUGUAACUGAGAAGCAGGAUAGACUAAGUAGCAGGAUAGACUAAGUAGAGGCAUUGUAAUGUGACUCUGUGAUAGUCACUCAUUCACUGUGAAGACUUCUAUCUCUUUAGCAAAAGUGACAACAUAGAGAAUGGAUGACAGCAGAGGGGCAGUCUGGAAGAAUGGCGUCUGACAUGGAAGUGCGACAGAAGCAAAGAUGUAUCACCGAAUUCAUCGCUGAAAAAGUUGUUCCUAUUGACAUUCGCUGACAAUUGCUGAACAUUUAUGGAGACCACACAGUGGAUGUGAGCACAGUGAGGAGGUAGGGGUGCGUUUUAGCGGCGGUGACAGCGACGUUAAAGACAAACUAUGUUCCAAGAGGACUUGCAGAUUUUUACCAGCUGGGAUUGCAGGAUCUUGUCCAUGGCUGCUGAAAAUGUAUAGCUAGUGGUGGUAACUGUGCUGCAAAACAGUGUUUUGUAGUCGAGAACUUGUUCUAUUGUACAGUGUAAUUGCUCUCUUUGUUUCUGUUUUAGUUACCAUGGGAAUAAAUAGGAGGCAUUACUUUUGGAAUGACCCACAUAUAAUGAACUCAUCAGAAGAGGAAAGCUGAGAGAUUCAGGAUGAAUUAAAACUCAUCAGCAACAUUCAGAGAGAAAGAGUAAAAAC
rnacentral:lncRNA from 1 species